ACUUGUUGGCUUCGAGCUCUGAUAUUAAGCAGAGCAGUUCUUCAAAACUGCCCACAUCUGUCCUCUCGUGUCUCAAAGUUGUUCUUUCUCCUGAGGUGCUAGCUAUGUGUGCUGAUGUUACCCUGAGCGCUUAAGAGAGCGAGGAGAGCUGUCUGCUUCUCCUGGAGAUUUCUGGAGCAAACUUGAAAGAAAACCCUUGUAAGACCAAAGCAGAUCUGUACUGUGGAAUUCAAGAUAGAGGAGGAGUGUCUCUCCCUUAUGGUGCUUAUCUUACAUACUGUUUCAUAUUUCUUGGGGCUUUUGGCUGGUGGUGGCCUAUUCAGCAGCCAUUUGGAGGCUCUACCUUGCAAAUGCUAGCUUCAAGUGUCAAAAAAAACAGUGAGGACUAGGAGGGUUCUGCCAAUCUUGAGUUGAGACCCAGGAGUAAGAAACUUUGAAGAUAAUCACAUUCACAUCAGAGAAGCUGCACUUGGUAAGUAAAGUUCCUGUCAAACUUUGCAUGAAGUCAGAGAGAGCUGCAUGUGCGUUUGCAGAUGAUCAGACCUGUGAGAAGCAAAAUUAGUUGGGAAAACCCAGAUAUCAGUAAGGUCUGUAUAGAAAAGGUUAAUAUUAAUGCUACUUAGUGAUCUAUGCUGUAAAAUAAGAAAUUGAAAGAAUUUAA